AAAAACAUGUAGAAUAUCAUAUGUAAGCAAGUAUAUUUCUCCUUUUUUUUCUUUCUUUUUUUUUUUAUCAAGAAGCAAAGACAAAAAGGGGAAAAAAAGAAACAGGGCAGAGUUCAGUGGUUGAAUCAUCCGUCCCCACCAAUGCCAAAACCAAAUCUACGCCCUUGCAUCGGUGCAAAUUAUAAGUCCGUAUCAUAAUGUCUGUUGUUUUCGUGUUUGUUGGUUUGUUUUUAUGUUUUUUUAAUUUAGCGAGUUGGUUAUUAGAUGCCGCUUCAGCCAGCCAGUGAAUCCUCCGCCGCCCAGCCCUUGCGCACCUCGCAAACGGAGGGCGCCCUUACUCCCAGCAAUUGGGCGAUAGAAAACCGAUCGGCGCCUAUGCCAUUCCCAAUAUGCGCUGGCAUGACGUCGGGGCAGCAUGAGUACCAGUAAAAAAAAAAAAAAAAUUUUUGCCGAUGCCCGUGAUGCCGCCCCGGACAACCGCCCGCGUCGUCCGUAUCAAAAACCGCUACUGCAGUCACAACAGGAUAACUUUAAAUUAAUGUUAACAAUGUCAUUACCAUUACACUGUCAGCUUUAAUAAGUAUUUUAACAAUGAAUCAACAUUUAUUUGAAGACUGAGAUUUAAAUCUUGACCAUAUUGAUAAUCCUGUUAAAGAAUCACCAUUAAUUUAAUGUGAUUUUGCGAUCUGAGUUAGGAUGUUUCAACACUUCUAAAGUGCAGUGAUUUUGAAACACUGCUCAAAGUGCAGUUAAGACCGCCUUUAUGACGGUUCUCAGAUCAGUAUCAUUUUUCACUUAAUUUUUUUAUGAGCACGUAUAUACAGUGAAAAUUCCAGAAGACUCAGACAUCUAGAAAAAACAAAGAGUCAGAUCAGCAGAACUCGAGAACACAGACAUGUCUCCUGUAACUGCGACACUCUGCGGGACUCUGCUGUGUUUCAGCGUCUUUGUGUUUGUAUCUGCAGACCUGAAAAUGAUCACAGCUGAAUCUGGACAGGACGUCACUCUGACAUGUCGAGCUCCAGACAACAACAUCAAUACUUUAGAGUGGAGCAGAGCUGACCUGGGAGAUAAGAAUGUCUAUUUGUACCAGAAUGGCCACUUCGAACCAGAUCACCAGCAUCCAUCUGUUAGGAACCGGGUGGAUCUGCAGAACAGAGAGAUGAUGGAUGGAGACGCGUCUUUGAUUCUGAAGGAUGUGAUGAUUGGUGACACUGGAACAUACGAGUGUCGUGUCAACAUGGAAGGAAAAAACCGCAAGGACGCUAAACCCGUCAGUGUCUUCUACCUCCAUGUUGAUCCCCCAGGAGCACACAAAGAAAUUGAACCUGUUAAAACUGACCCUCCACGUGUUGAUCCUCCAGCUCAGACAGGAGGAUCUGGUGGACUGAAAGCUGGUCUGGUAGUUCCUGCUGUGCUUCUUGUUGCUACUGUUGUUGGUUUUUGAAAAGAAACACCAACAACAGCAGCAACAAGAAGAAAACAGUCUCGAGGUUCAAAUGAGCGUUCUGGUGAACAACAGAGCGGACAACCUCUUCAGACUUAAGAUCAUCAACCAAUAAACAUCAUAGACGUCAAACACUCAGAGUUUGGAUUUCUUUCUCAUUUCUCUGAUGAUCAUCAUGUUUAGACUCAGACCAACAGUGUGUGUCUGUGCUGUCUGUCAGUGACCCUGAACUACAGUUUAUUCAUCUUCAUGUUGUUCAUGAGAUUUACUGACACAAAGUCAAACUGUGUUACAAACAUAAAUGAAUUUAUAUGAUAUUAUCUCAGAAUAUAUGCAUGUUUUGUUUUUUAGCUUCAUGUUCAGUGGCUGGUUGUAAGAAAAACUAAAGAUCAGCUGUUACAGUAUAAUUGUUGUUCUGUGAAUUAUAGACUAUUAAUAAUCUGGCUCAUUGUUCAGCUACAACCACUUUGUUUGACAUUACUUAUUAUUCUCUUUUUGUAUAAAAUUUUGAAUUUUACAGCUUACGGAGCAAAAUUGUGUAAAAGUAAAAAUUUGUGUAGUUACAGACUCAUAUUUCUUCUCUGAUCCUGAACCUUUCUAACCCCUUUCAUUUAACAUUUCCUCCAGUGAAUCUUUGUAAAUCCAAAUUUCUUCAUCUAUGUUAAUAAAGAUUUACAUUUAUACCUGCUCAAGGUUUUCCAGUGUUUCUGUCAUUUGAAGGUUUUGAUUUAAUUUCUGUUUAUUAUUUUGUUACAAACUUGUCAUCAAUUAGCGAGACAGAAGCUAAGCUCGUUGCAACAUGGCAACUGCCUCAACGCGACAUGAAAUUGAACCUCCCCCACCCUCAUUCAGAUCUGGCAUUUGGAACUAUCUUGGUUUUCAUGUGAAGCAUGACCCUGAUGGUAAGCGCGUCAUGGACAAAAGUAAAACAGUAUGUUGGAUGUGCCACGCAAUGCUCAAUUUGUGGGAACUAGUGCGUUAGCGCAGUUAGCUUGUUAACGUGUUAAUGCCGUCCAGCCCCACGCACGGGGCGAUCUGCGGUAACUUGUUAAGGGAGAUUUACCGCGUUAUGGCGUUAAUGUCAUUUUAACGAGAUUAACGCUGACAGCACUAGUGGGAACACAAUGAAUAUGACUGCACAUUUACGCCGACAUCAUCCUAGUGCAAAGACAAGUGGAAGCAGACAAAAACAACAAGCAUGCAUGCUACAAACUUUACCCGAGUCAUUUAGACAGCCGUCAGCACAUGAUUCUCCUUAUGGGGACCUGAUAUGUUUAAUAUGCUGCUGAGAAUAUACCCCAGAAGAAGCGUAUAGUAUAGCUUUUAUUUUGGAAAGAGCCAUUUCUCUGUAAUAAACUCUCUUUUCCAAAGAUGAGUGACUUCUCG
ensembl:lncRNA